CCUUCUGGAUUUUACUUAACUUCUUUGUUGCUCUGUUCUCUUAUCUGUCAAAAGAAAAUAAACGCCUGCUCUGCCUACCUGACUGCAUUAUGAAGAUCAAAUGAGAUAGCACUUUGAAAAUUGUAUUGUGAUCUCUUUCUACGUAGACCUGAUGAUGAGGCACAUCACUAGAAUACCAAUGAGAAUAUGGAAGCCAGGACCACAGUUGGAGAGGUAGUAUGCCAGAGAAGUAGUUUUGUGGUCCAGAAGAUUUGGGUCCUGCCUAGAGCUGUCUGCCUCUGCCAGGUACUGACUGUGUGAUCCUGGGCAAACAGUUUAACCUUCCAGUUCCCCCCUCAGUAAUCUACAUUGGUAGAGAGAGUUUUGUCACUAGGAGUUCUCAAUUUCCAAGAAAUCAUAGGUCCAGACCAGAAAAACAUAAACAAACACUCAUAGUUAAGGACAGUUUUAUAUAGAAAGCUGGUCUCUAAAAAGAUACUUUGACACAGGUAACAAAAAAGAAACAACUUUAUAUAGUAUGGUACAAGUGGCCAUGGUCAGGACUUGGGCUCAAGAGCGCUGGGAUUCAAAUCCCCUUUGUGAUACUUAUUCUGAGACUUGGCUAAGCUAAUUCACUUCUCUGAGGUUGUUUCCUCAUCUUUCCUAGCAUCUGUAACAGCUACCUGAGGGGUUGUUGUGAGGAAAGUACUUUGCAAAAUUAAAAUACAAGAGUGAAUUUCCAUUAUCUUUAUGAGGUGGUUUAUGAUAAGUGGUUUGAAAAGUGGUAGACUGUAGUUUUCCAGGUAUAUCAAGGAGCAAAGAUUCUAGGAGAGAUUAAAAAUAAUUUAAAAAACUAAGGCAAUUUUGCUCCUAAAUUGCAUUGUAGAUUUUGAGCUGGCAGGUUAUUUAGUCCAAGUCUCUCGAUUUACAUUUGAGGAAAAAGAACCAGGAGGGUUAACUGACUUGCUCAAAGUCACACAGGAACUAAGUAUAGAGCCAACAUUAGAACUCAGGUCUUAUACUUCCAAACUCAGCACUUUUUCCUCUGUACCGCUCUAACAAAGUUACAUGUAUUAUCAACAGAGUAAUUCCACCGUUAUGGGAAACUCACAAUCUGAAGUCUUGAGAGGUGGCUUUUUUUCCCCCUCUGUAUAACAGCCUUUUCAUUUUCUUUCAAAAAUAAAAUUUUAUUUGAUAGGUUUU